UCUUAUGAGGAGGGGCUGAGGUCACUUGGUCUGUUCAGCCUGGAGAGGAGGAGACUCAGGGGAGACCUCAUUGUAGUUACAACCUCCUGUGAGGGGAGCAGGUGGGGCAGGCACUGAUCUCUUCUCUGUGGUGACAGUGACAGAACCCAAGAAAACAGCGUGAAACUGAGUCAGGAUUUUCCUGCUCUUAAGGGAUCCAAAAUGCAGUGGUGACCUUUUUGCAUGGACUGCCUUUGGUGUCUGAGUGCCUACAGAACAGGAACAGGAAACGUGGAAGGACUGGGAAGUCUGGGCAAUUUGAAGGAGGAGUGUUUGGGGCUUUCUGGCUCUCUCUGCCUUCUGCUUUGCAGUCAAUGCCCUUUGCUGCUUUUGGUUCAAUGUAGGGGCAGAAUGGCUGAGGAGGUACCACAGGUGCACUGCUACCAGCACGUUACUGUUAGUUUGGACUACAUCAGGAAAGGUGUGCAUUUUUUUCCUCAUCGCUUUAAAAGUGACAACUGAUUGCUUGAAAGACAGUGGUGAACCAUACCUAGGUACCUUGGAAAGGAAGGCCAUUGUUAUAAAGAGG